rnacentral:hammerhead_ribozyme from 1 species
AUCUAGAUGACGAGUACCAAAUAGGACGAAAUGCGCAUCCUGGAU